ACCCCUAGCAAAUCUCAAAAAACCGUCUCAGUUCGGAUUGGGCUCCGCAACUCGAGCCCAUGAAGUUGGAAUCGCUAGUAAUCGUGGAUCAGCAUGCCACGGUGAAUACGUUCCCGGGCCUUGUACACACCGCCCGUCACACCAUGGGAGUUGGUUUUACCUGAAGACGGUGCGCUAACCCGCAAGGGAGGCAGCCGGCCACGGUAGGGUCAGCGACUGGGGUGAAG
rnacentral:rRNA from 1 species